rnacentral:lncRNA from 1 species
GGUAGGAGUGGCAACAAAUGCUGGGCUCAAAACACAGGGAUUUCUUUUUCUUUUAGACGUAUCUGGAAGAAUAGGAGAAUCGAAGAGAGACGAUAAGACGGUGAUAGUGGAGGAGGAUGAUGUCGACUCUAACUACCUGCACGUCCCCAGCUCAACAAGAAUAUAUUAAGCAACAACUAAGUGUGAAGCAUGUGGAUGGACAGAGCUUCUGAUUACAGGCCAAGCGUGUUCAAAUCUUGCAAAGGUGUAAAUGAGGACAGCCUAAGGCAGACAAUGAAGGGCUUGCCAGACCAAGAAACCUGUAUUUUGCCAACCUGUUCAGGAUUUGAUUACUUUUAAAAGCCCAAGCUACAAAUAAAAACUUCAACAAUCUCUGUGUAAUGAAAAAG